UUGUCUCCACAUGCUUCCUUGUAUCCUUCUCACUUGCCCUAUUUGUUCCUCAGGCAGAUGCGCUAUCUUCCCUGGAAGCAUAAGAUGUUGAAGAUGAAUACUCGAGAGCAAUGCCAGGUAAGUAAUCAGGUAAGGGGUUCCAGGCAGUCAGUUCCUAGCUGGAAGCUUGAUUCCAAGUGCUGACUGAUUGCUCUCUUUCUCCUUGUCUUGCAGGUAAGAACAAGGCCAAAGGAAAAGACAGGGAAAAAGCAUGAUAUGGGAUACUCUUGCUUUUAACCCUGAUGAUAUGAGAUAUUCUUGCUCUAGUAUAACUUGUUUACAGAGGUAUUAUCGGAGGGAAAGAAAGCUGAAUAUUUCGAAAGGCUUCGUUGGGAGUGCCCUCUCAGAUAAGAGGAAGGGUUGAGCAUUUUUGCAGGUCUGCCUGUCCGUUGGGGAUGAAGGUCGACAUAUAUAGGAGUCUCCCUAACAUCAAGUAAUAAUGCUAUUCCUUUACCCUACUUGGUCAUAGCACGGUAGUGGGAGCUGCCAGCUUCACAAGUUUUAACUCUGUCAGAGCACUUUGAAAAAGUGGUCUGUGGUAUCUGGAAAGCUGAUGUUGCGUGUGAAGAUUACAGAUAAGCUUUAUCCAAGGAGAUCCGACUCUUGAAGUUGGGAAAGUGGUGCCUCUUCGGUUUUCGAACAAGCAAUCCUGUCGGGGAUCUGGCUCUCGAGAUUCGGAGAACGAUGCCUCUUCGAUUUUUGAGAAAGCAAUCCUGCUGGGGGUCUGGCUCUCGAGAUUCGGAGAACGGUGUCUUCGAUUUUUGAGAAAGUAAUCAUGUUGGGAGUCUGGCUCUCGAGAUUCGGAGGGCGAUGCCUCUUCGAUUUUGGAGCAAGCAAUCUUGUUGGGAGUGUUUUCUCGAAUGUGAGUAAAAGUUGGGCAUGUUUGCUAGUCUACCUUGCCACGAAGCACAGAGGUUGACACACAGGGACUUUCCAAUUAUCCAGCAGUGGUACUGUUCCUUUACCCUCUCUUCGAUUUUUGAGAAAGUAAUCAUGUUAGGAGUCUGGCUCUCGAGAUUCGGAGGGCGGUGCCUCUUCGAUUUUGGAGCAAGCAAUCUUGUUGGGGUGUUUUCUCGAAUGUGAGUAAAGGUUGGGCAUGUUUGCUAGUCUACCUUGCCACGAAGCACAGAGGUUGACACACCGGGACUUUCCAAUUAUCCAGCAGUGGUACUGUUCCUUUACCCUCUCUUCGAUUUUUGAGAAAGUAAUCAUGUUGGGAGUUUGGCUCUCGAGAUUCGGAGGGCGAUGCCUCUUCGAUUUUGGUGCAAGCAAUCUUGUUGGGAGUGUUUUCUCGAAUGUGAGUAAAGGUUGGGCAUGUUUGCUAGUCUACCUUGCCACGAAGCAUAGAGGUUGACACACCGGGACUUUCCAAUUAUCCAGCAGUGGUACUGUUCCUUUACCCUUGUGGGUAAUAAUAUGGUAGCUAGGCCUUCAAAAUUUAUGUGUCUAAACUUUGUUAGUGUUGUUUCUUUGCUAUUCUUUUACCCUUCUUGGUCAGAGCGAUGUAGUGAGAGAUGCAAGCUUCACGUGUCUCAACUUUGUCAGAGAACUUUGGCAAAGUUAUAUGUGGUACCCAUGAGCUACUGUUGCGUGUGGGAAGUGGGUGAUUGAACAGUACGAUUCAUGUGCUUUCUACUUCGCCAGAAAUCUUCGACAGAAUGCCCAUAAUUUCCGCAAAGCUGAGUGUGCGUGUGACAGGUGUUGACAAGGCUGGAAAAGUAGUCUCAACUUUGUCAGAGAACUUUGACAAAGUUAUAUGUGGUACACAUGAGCUACUGUUGCGUGUGGGAAGUAGGUGAUUGAACAGUACGAUUCAUGUGCUUUCUACUUCGCCAGAAAUCUUCGACAGAAUGCCCAUAAUUUCUGCAAAGCUGAGUGUGCGUGUGACAGGUGCUGACAAGGCUUGAAAAGUAGUCUCAACUUUGUCAGAGAACUUUGGCAAAGUUAUAUGUGGUACCCAUGAGCUACUGUUGCGUGUGGGAAGUGGGUGAUUGAACAGUACGAUUCAUAUGUUUUCUAAUUCGCCAGAAAUCUUCGACAGAAUGCCCAUAAUUUCUGCAAAGCUGAGUGUGCGUGUGACAGGUGCUGACAAGGCUGGAAAAGUAGUCUCAACUUUGUUAGAGAACUUUGGCAAAGUUAUAUGUGGUACCCAUGAGCUACUGUUGCGUGUGGGAAGUGGGUGAUUGAACAGUACGAUUCAUGUGCUUUCUACUUCGCCCGAAAUCUUCGACAGAAUGCCCAUAAUUUCCGCAAAGCUGAGUGUGCGUGUGACAGGUGCUGACAAGGCUGGAAAAGUAGGUGCCUCUUCGAUUUCUGAGAUCGGCCCUCGUGGUCUCUGAGCAGCCCAGCUUUUGAGAAAGCAAACCUCUUCGAUUUCUGAGAUCGGCCUUCGUGGUCUUUGAGCAGCCCAGCUUUUGAGAAAGCAAACGCCUCUUCGAUUUUGAGAUCGACCCUCGUGGUCUCUGAGCAGCCCAGCUUUUGAGAAAGCAAACGCCUCUUCGAUUUCUGAGCAGGCGCCUCUUCGAUUUCUGAAGCUUCGUCGAGUGCAGAUUUUUAUAGGGGCUGACAAUUAAGUUCCAAAGCACACUUGAAUAUCCACCCGUAGAAGCUCCAUUCUUGCACUUCUAAGAUCUUGAUUUGUCCGACCUCUUCUCUCUUCAACACCUUUGAAAAUGUCUGGCCCCUCCGACCGUCGUUUUGACUUGAACCUUGUUGAAGAGGCAGCCCCGCCUUCUCCAGACAACAUAUGGCGCCCAUCCUUCGUCUCCCCUACUGGUCCUCUUACCGUUGGGGAUUCCGUGAUGAAGAAUGAUAUGACCGCUGCGGUAGUGGCCAUGAACCUUCUCACUCCCAAAGAUAACAGACUACUUUCCAAACGGUCUGAUGAGUUGGUUGUUAAGGAUUCUCUGGCUCUUAGUGUUCAGUGUACAGGUUCUGUGUCUAAUAUGGCCCAACGCCUAUUUGCUCGAACCCGCCAAGUGAAUCAUUGGCGGCUGAAGUGAUGAGUCUAAAACAGGAGAUUAGAGGGCUCAAGCAUGAGAAUAAACAGUUGCACCGGCUCGCACAUGACUAUGCUACAAACAUGAAGAGGAAGCUUGACCAGAUGAAGGAAUCUGAUGGUCAGGUUUUACUUGAUCAUCAGAGAUUUGUGGGUUUGUUCCAAAGGCAUUUAUUGCCUUCGUCUUCUGGGGCUGUACCGCGUAAUGAAGCUCCAAAUGAUCAACCUCUGAUGCCUCCUCCUUCUAGGGUUCUGUCCAGUACUGAGGCUCCGAAUGAUCCCCCCUCUGGUGCCUUCUCUUUCUGGGGCUCUACCGACUGCUGAGACUUCUCCUAAGCAACCUUUGUGAAGGCUCCCUCUUGUUUGUUUAUUUUGACUCAAGUAUAUGUACAUAUUUGUAACUUAUCCGGUGCCUUCUCUUUCUAUGCUUGAUGCUAUUUGUGAAAAUUUAAACUUAAGCUGCAAUUGGUCUUUUCUCUCUUUUUCUUAUUUGAUCAAAACAUUUGUUCUUCUGAGCUCGUCAAUCUGAACAGAUUUCAUGGAUAAUGAAUCAACCACGUGUUUAAAAUACAUAUAAAAUUUUCUCCACAAGACCCAACUUAAAACAAAGUUGCCCUUAAAAAAAUAAACCAGAAAGCCUACAUUUAUAAUCAACCCCACUAAUGAGGAUAUAGCUCAGUAAUAUUUGAGUCCUCAUUUAUCAACACAUGCACAGAAUUUUUAGAUUCCUAUGAUUGUGUUCCGUCCGUGGUGUCUUUUUCACUGUUAUGUAAAUAAUAUGCAGGUCUUGAAGGUAAUGAAAGUGUAACAGUUGAAGUCAUGGUCGGUCUGCUAACCACAUUUUAUUGGAUGCAAAGUAAACCAAUGUGGAUGAAUCUAAUUGUUUCGGUUCCUAAUCCUGUUGUUAACAUAUGGUCUAUGAUAUUUGACACCGUAUCCUUCCAAUUUCUCCAUGCCCAUAAUAAAAGUUGAGAACUACAUUAAACAAAGAAAGUUCAUACGGCUUUGGUAUUUGACGCCGUAUCCUCCUUCCAAUUGGCUUAAAUAAUACUCUAAAAUUUAGGGUUGUCAAUUGAGACAACCUAUGUUAUACGGCUUUGGUAUUUCACAGUUAGAUUGUAGAUAUUUGAAAGACAAAUGUUUUUUUAUGUUAUUUAAUUAUUUAUUAAAAUAAAAUAUAUUUUCUUUAUCAUGUAACGGGUUAGAUCUAUUACCUGUUAAUGUUAAUGAAUCGAGAUAGGUCAGGUCAUAGUACUCCAUUUUAACGGAUUUGACAUGACUCAAUCUAUUAAUAUAUCGGAUAUGUCACAAAAACGAUACGAACACGACACACACGACACGAUUGCCAGAUCUAACUCAAAAUCCACUAUUGUCCCAAUGGUUCCUGACCCUUAAUUUGAUUUGCAGGUUUUUUCCUUUGACCAAUAUAGCAAAUAGUGUUCCAAAAUUUCUAGUAAUUAUAUAUAUAUAUGUUUACAAAGACGUUAUAUAUAAAAUGACUCACAAUGCCACAAUAAAUUAAAGUCACUUCACCCAAAAUAGUGUUAGUCACAAUUAGGCUUCAAGCUCACAAUAAGUAUACAUACUUGAGCUUUCCUUCAACCAAUUAAGUAUACAUACUUGAAAUCUCGUCCCUGAUUUUCACUAUUGCAAACUACGUAUGUAUAUUAAGGAGUUAUUAUAUUAUUUUUGGAAUUUAUAUUAAUUGUAGAGUGUUGAGAUUGUGUACUCAAAAGAUGUCAAGGUGAAAAAGCUACAAUUAAAAAGUUGCCCUUAAUUAAUUAAGGAGAAAAAAAAAGGAUUAAAGAAAAAGCCACGGGGGGUGGCUGAGAAAAGGAAGAAGAAAAGGAAAGGAGGUGCGGGAGAGAAAGGAGGGAGGAGGGGUACGAAUCAGAAGAGGGGAGAGGAAAGAAGUGACGAAUUAGAGAGGGAGAAAGAAGGGAAAGGAGGGAAUGAGAAAAUGAGGGGGAAAACCGGUUUCCCCUUGACCCAUCGCGACCCGGUAUAAUUUUCGGUGAAAAUCGUCAAUUUUCCGACGAAUUGAGAUGAUUUACCGCCACCAAUCAUCACUUCGUUACUCCCUCUUCAUCUUUCCACCUAAAAUCGAGCUAUUUUGGCCUUGUAUUCGUGAGAUAUGCACCGGUGGGUGGUGGGGUGGACAACGGCGAUUCCGCCAUUUGUGAAGACAAAACCAUUGACUACCACCAUGGUUCAACUCCCCUUGAGGUCUGGAUGAAAGCCCAAACAAGUUUGGGGGCGGUGGAGCUAUGGAAUUGUAGGAUUGAGGCACACCCAUUUCUAGGGUUUCCGGCGGAUUUGAGUGAAAUUGGAGCUCUUCCCGGCCAAAUUGGACUUGGCCACAUGUAUAAAGUUUGCUCUACUAUUUGAGAUCUUCAUUUCUGUAAUUUUUGGUAAUUUUUAAAAAUAAUUGAAUUUUCCGGCAAGUUGGGGCGGCCGACCGCCACCCGCGGCGGCGGCCUGGCCAGUGGGCCGACGAUGUCCUUUUAAGUUCAAAUAGAUGCCUUGAUUUCAUAAUUGAUAACCGUAUGACGUAAUUUGAUAGUUUGGACUUAGUUUCAUUACGAUACCUUACUUGGUCAAAAUAUGAAUCAACGAUCUGACCGUUGGAUCGUCACCAAACCGUAAUGUGUGAUAGAAAAUAAUAUUUUUGGAUCAUAGAAACUUACGGAUCGAGAAUCCAACGUACGGAUUUUCCCUAAUUGGAUUUCUAAGUUUGUAAAAUUAAUUGUUAACCGCUACCUAAUUCUAGCAAUUGGCGGAGAUCUGAUUGUUGGAUCGCGAUGAGAAUUUAGUAUAUGGUUCUAUGAGCAUAAUGUGGACUUUGGGAGGUUAUGGAUCGGAAAUCCGAUGUACGGAUCUUCCGGAUCGAAUUUCGCAGGGUUGUGGACCUUACCGUUGCUCGAGAGUUGACUUUUGGUCAAUAUGUUUCGAAACGUUUUAAAUACUAAAUAUAGUACCACAGGAUACUAAGUAAGUCUAGUGGGGUCACAUUGGUUAGAGAGUGACUGGAAUAUAUGUGAUGUAAUUACUACCUUAAUUUCUUAUAUUAAUAUCAUUUGUGAAUAUGAUUUGGGUUAUAAAUGACAUUUAUAUUGACAUGUGAAUUAUAUAUAUAUGCCAUAGACCUAUGUUUAUUAAAUGUAAAUUCUAUUGAAGUGUUAUUUUUAUUUCUGACUAUUGAUCUAUUUUCAUUAAGUAUGAUUUGACUUGUACAUUGGAGAUAUGGUUUGUAUUGUAUGAUUGGAUUGAUAAUGAAAUGCGAGGGCUAAUAGUGGACCGUUAACCCAUUGUCAUGGGGUUUGUUGCUUCGAAACAUGUUUCACCCCUUGUGUCAUUAUUUUAUUCUCGUUUCGUUGAGUCUUUGUAACUUGAGUAACUUGAUUCAUGUCUUGGUUCAUUGAUUGGUGUUAUACAUUAUAUACUUCACAAUUCCGUUGAGUGAUGGUCCGGAAUCGUGUCCUGGUUUGGAUUCUGUUGAGUGAUGGUCCGAAAUCCCUUAUACUCAGCGAUUCCGUUGAGUGAUGGUCCGGAAUUGUAUCAUGGUUUGGAUUCCAUUGAGUAAUAGUCCGGAAUCCCUUCUACUUUGCGAUUCCGUUGAGUGAUGGUCCAAAAUCGUAUCCUGGGUUGAAUUUCGUUGAGUGAUGGUCCGGAAUCCCCUUUGUUGUCUUGACUCCGUUUUGUAGUUCGAAAUUCCGAGAUGUAGGCUUCAGUCGAAUUAUGCCGCUCUAGCCCUACAUUUCGAUGAGUGGUAUGUGAUAUUGAUGAUGCGAUGGUUGGCAUUAUUGUUUGAGGUGAUUAUGGAAUGAUGUUGGCUAUGGUUAUUGUAAUUAUGAUUAUACUUGUUUACCAUUGAGACUAGUGAAUAUGAUUGUGCUCCGUUGUUUGUUCUUUGUAAUAUUGUAUGAUAUGCAUUGUGAUAUAUUGUUGAGACAUAGCGAUCUAUGUGAUGAAUAUUUGAUUGUAGUGAAAUGACGAACUACGAAUGGCUUGAUCCCAAAUGUGGGUACGUAGGCAGUCUAACGAGGAGAUUAGAUACAGCCAUAAAGUAUACCAAAAUUGUAACGCAAUUCGAGUAUUGAAUUAGGCUUUAUUCAUAUCCCGAAGGCGGGGUAUGUUAGAUAUAUGGUUAUUUGAUGACAUCUCGAUCCUGGACGUACGUCGGGAUUAGGGCGUGACAGUUGGUGGUCAUUAUCUAGUAUUAAAUCAAGAAAUAGACCAAUCCCGUAUGAACAAAGAAAGAGUCUCUGUGUUUACCGAAAAAAGAGAGUCUGUCUUUUAAGUUUAUAUGUGACUUUAUAAGCUUAUAGAUGUCAUUGGACUUUUUCUAAGCGGUACCUCUCAACUUUUUGUCAUUAUACGUGGAAUUUAUGUUUUGGCACCUAUUGGAAGUAAUUCUCAAACCCUUGAAGGGAGAUUAGGCCGAAUGCCUAAUUCAUGCGCAAUUUUUUGUUGAAGGCCAACCACAAAGAAAAAGGCAAUACUAUGUAUAUGUAUAUUUAUAUUUUGUUUUAAAUUAUUAUAAAUGAACCAAUGAGAAAUAUAAAAAUUUAGAUUCAACGAUGUAGAGGAUCCUCUUCGGAUCCACUUUGUGGAAAUUAGAAAGAAAAUAUAUUUGUGAUGAGUGUAUAAUGAGAUUUUUUGAGAGUUAAUAACAAUUUCUUGGUUUUAUAUAAAAAAUAAAAAUGAAACUCAUCUACUUGUUUUCCCACUAAUUGACUUUGCUUAACUCUAUAUCCACAAACAUAGCAUAUAUAUAGUUGCUGACAUAAUAUGAAUCGUUCACUAUAAUCACCAAAAGCAGUACUCAAUAUAAGGUUGCUUCUUGUUACCUACCACUUAGUACUAC
rnacentral:lncRNA from 1 species